rnacentral:pre_miRNA from 1 species
UCGACCGCUCAGUGGUUUUACCCUAUGGUAGCUUUGAAUGGCAGACUCUACCACAUGGUAGAAUCACGGCCCGGUGAC